GCGCAGCAGGCGAGAAACCUCCACAAUGUGGGAAACCACGAUGGGGGAACUCCAAGUGCCUGCACUUUUGUGCAGGCUGUUCUCGAGCCUAAAAAGCUCGAGAAGUAAGGGCCGGGUAAGACGGGUGCCAGCCGCCGCGGUAAUACCCGCGGCCCGAGUGGUGCUCAUUAUUAUUGAGCCUAAAGCGUCCGUAGCUGGCCGUGCAAAUCUCCGGGGAAAUCGGACGGCCCAACUGUCCGAAGACCGGAGACACUGCUCGGCUCGAGAUCGGGAGAGGGAGGAGGUACUCUCGGGGUAGGGGUAAAAUCCUGUAAUCCUGAGGGGACCACCAGUGGCGAAGGCGUCCUCCUAGAACGAAUCUGACAGUGAGGGACGAAGCCCUAGGGCGCAAACGGGAUUAGAUACCCCCGUAGUCC
rnacentral:rRNA from 1 species